rnacentral:rRNA from 1 species
UACGGAGGUUCCGAGCGUUAUCCGGAUUUAUUGGGCUUAAAGGGUGCGUAGGUGGCCUGUUAAGUCAGGGGUGAAAGACGGUAGCUCAACUAUCGCAGUGCCCUUGAUACUGAUGGGCUUGAAUGAACUAGAGGUAGGCGGAAUGUGACAAGUAGCGGUGAAAUGCAUAGAUAUGUCACAGAACACCGAUUGCGAAGGCAGCUCACAAAACUGUAACUGACGCUGAGGCUCGAAAGUGCGGGGAUCAAACAGG